UGGCCAUGCCAACUUCCUGCUUGCCAUUCAGUUGAAAGGGGCAAGCCACAAAACAAGUCAGAGCCAAGUAUGAAACCAGCAAGGACGGACCUAACUGUCUUGAUUCGGGUUUGCGGGGAGGGCUUCACUGACCAUAAGGUUGGCACUAAAGUCGGGCCGUCUAGGGUAUAGGGUUUCAGGAGUAAAAGUCAAGAAACUGCAUGCUUUGCAUGUCUGGGAAGGGAUCAGAUCCGAGCCCAACGCAAGUGUUUCAGCUUGGGCAAGCCACUGCGGGGAGGCAGCGCCCAGCUCUGAUGCGCAUGCUCAGUGCCCAGGCUGCACGUCAGCCCUGACCAGACAACCGUCUCCUGCUCAGUUUGGGGGAGUGAAUUCAGUGCAUUACCAAGUACCGUGCAGGAUCUAAGUCUCCCAUCAUUCCUUUCAGAUACACAUGAUUUAACUGCUCCUGUGGAGACUGUCUUGGCUCAUGUUUCGUGCUCCAAAAUCACCUAGAUUUGGAGUGAAAAGGCCGUAAAGCCCGUGCUGUCGAAAGCAGCUGUCUCUCCAGAAGGGCAGCCUUCUUCAUGACAGUUGCUAUAGUCAUCUCCUUCUGGUGAAGCUCCUGGGUGAGGUCGGAGAUCUCAUUCCUCAUGCGUUCCUGCUCAGAGCAUCGGUCUUCCUCCU